rnacentral:rRNA from 1 species
GACGAACGCUGGCGGCGUGCUUAAUACAUGCAAGUCGAGCGAGGUUACUGUUUUGGAUCCCUUCGGGGUGAAGAAGCUUUAACCUAGCGGCGGACGGGUGAGUAACGCGUGGGUAACCUACCCCAAAGUCCGGGAUAACAGCGGGAAACCGCUGCUAAUACCGGAUGCCUUUACCUUGGGGCAUCUUGAGGUAAAGAAAGGUAACGCUUUGGGAUGGGCCCGCGUCCCAUUAGCUAGUUGGUGAGGUAACGGCUCACCAAGGCGACGAUGGGUAGCCGGCCUGAGAGGGUGGACGGCCACACUGGGACUGAGACACGGCCCAGACUCCUACGGGAGGCAGCAGUAGGGAAUAUUGCGCAAUGGACGGAAGUCUGACGCACGACGCCGCGUGAGCGAUGAAGGUCUUCGGAUCGUAAAGCUCUGUCCUUGGGGAAGAAGGCGAAAGCUUGACGGUACCCAAGAAGAAAGCCCCGGCUAACUACGCGCCAGCAGCCCGCGGUAAUACGUAGGGGGCGAGCGUUGUCCGGAAUUACUGGGCGUAAAGGGUGCGUAGGCGGCCCUUUAAGUCGGAUGUGAAAGCCCGCGGCUUAACCCG